rnacentral:rRNA from 1 species
UACGAAGGGGGCUAGCGUUGCUCGGAAUGACUGGGCGUAAAGGGCGCGUAGGCGGCUUGUAUAGUCGGAUGUGAAAUCCCUCAGCUUAACUGGGGAACUGCGUCCGAUACUGGAUGGCUUGGAUUUGGGAGAGGGAUGCGGAAUUCCAGGUGUAGCGGUGAAAUGCGUAGAUAUCUGGAGGAACACCGGUGGCGAAGGCGGCAUCCUGGACCAAUAUUGACGCUGAGGAGCGAAAGCCAGGGGAGCAAACGGG